rnacentral:rRNA from 1 species
ACGGGAGGCAGCAGUGGGGAAUAUUGCACAAUGGGGGAAGCCCUGAUGCAGCGACGCCGCGUGAGUGAAGAAGUAUUUCGGUAUGUAAAGCUCUAUCAGCAGGGAAGAAAAUGACGGUACCUGACUAAGAAGCCCCGGCUAACUACGUGCCAGCAGCCGCGGUAAUACGUAGGGGGCAAGCGUUAUCCGGAUUUACUGGGUGUAAAGGGAGCGUAGACGGCGAUGCAAGUCUGAUGUGAAAGCCCGGGGCUCAACCCCGGCACUGCAUUGGAAACUGUGUUGCUAGAGUGCAGGAGAGGUAAGUGGAAUUCCUAGUGUAGCGGUGAAAUGCGUAGAUAUUAGGAGGAACACCAGAGGCGAAGGCGGCUUACCGGACUGUAACUGACGUUGAGGCUCGAAAGCGUGGGGAGCAAACAGGAUUAGAUACCCUGGUA